AGUGAACGCUGGCGGUAGGCCUAACACAUGCAAGUCGAACGGCAGCACAGUAAGAGCUUGCUCUUACGGGUGGCGAGUGGCGGACGGGUGAGGAAUACAUCGGAAUCUACUUUUUCGUGGGGGAUAACGUAGGGAAACUUACGCUAAUACCGCAUACGACCUACGGGUGAAAGCAGGGGAUCUUCGGCCCUUGCGCGAUUGAAUGAGCCGAUGUCGGAUUAGCUAGUUGGCGGGGUAAAGGCCCACCAAGGCGACGAUCCGUAGCUGGUCUGAGAGGAUGAUCAGCCACACUGGAACUGAGACACGGUCCAGACUCCUACGGGAGGCCGCAGUGGGGAAUAUUGGACAAUGGGCGCAAGCCUGAUCCAGCCAUACCGCGUGGGUGAAGAAGGCCUUCGGGUUGUAAAGCCCUUUUGUGGGGAAAGAAAAGCAGCAGGUUAAUACCCCGCUGUUCUGACGGUACCCAAAGAAUAAGCACCGGCUAACUUCGUG
rnacentral:rRNA from 1 species